CAGUCGCCGCGGGAAUACGAAGGGUGCAAGCGUUAAUCGGAAUUACUGGGCGUAAAGCGUGCGUAGGCGGUUUGUUAAGUCUGCUGUGAAAUCCCCGGGCUCAACCUGGGAACGGCAGUGGAUACUGGCAAGCUAGAGUGUGUCAGAGGAUGGUGGAAUUCCCGGUGUAGCGGUGAAAUGCGUAGAGAUCGGGAGGAACAUCAGUGGCGAAGGCGGCCAUCUGGGACAACACUGACGCUGAGGCACGAAAGCGUGGGGAGCAAACAGGAUUAGAUACCCUGGUAGUCCCUGUCUCUUAUAA
rnacentral:rRNA from 1 species